GGGGGGACGAGGGUGGACAGGUGGUGCAUGGUUGUCGUCAGCUCGUGUCGUGAGAUGUUGGGUUAAGUCCCGCAACGAGCGCAACCCUCGACCUUAGUUGCCAGCAUUCAGUUGGGCACUCUAAGGUGACUGCCGGCUAAAAGUCGGAGGAAGGUGGGGAUGACGUCAAAUCAUCAUGCCCCUUAUGACCUGGGCUACACACGUGCUACAAUGGGCGGUACAAAGGGUCGCGAACCCGCGAGGGGGAGCCAAUCCCAAAAAGCCGCUCUCAGUUCGGAUUGCAGGCUGCAACUCGCCUGCAUGAAGCCGGAAUCGCUAGUAAUCGCGGAUCAGCAUGCCGCGGUGAAUACGUUCCCGGGCCUU
rnacentral:rRNA from 1 species